GCUAAACGCGAAGAACCUUACCUGGCCUUGACAUCCAUGGAAUCCCGAAGAGAUUCGGGAGUGCCGCAAGGAACCAUGAGACAGGUGCUGCAUGGCUGUCGUCAGCUCGUGUCGUGAGAUGUUGGGUUAAGUCCCGCAACGAGCGCAACCCUUGUCUUCUGUUGCCAUCAGGUCACGCUGGGCACUCUGGAGAAACUGCCGGUGACAAACCGGAGGAAGGUGGGGAUGACGUCAAGUCAGCAUGGCCUUUAUGUCUGGGGCUACACACGUGCUACAAUGGCCGGUACAAACCGCUGCAAACUCGCGAGGGUGAGCUAAUCGGAGAAAGCCGGUCUCAGUUCGGAUUGUAGGCUGCAACUCGACCUCAUGAAGUCGGAGUCGCUAGUAAUCGCAGAUCAGCAACGCUGCGGUGAAUACGUUCCCGGGUCUUGUACACACC
rnacentral:rRNA from 1 species